rnacentral:lncRNA from 1 species
UGAUCACUGAUCAUAGUCAACAACUCCACAUGAUAUGACUUCAUCAAAAUAUCAUAAUGCGGAGGAGGGGGUCACGUCCGAUUUUUUUUUUUUUUUUUGUAAUUGUUUUAAUUGAUAAAAAUUUCUCCGUAAAACAGUUCAGUCAAUAUUCUUUUACCACGAGAGACAACUAUUUUGUAAUUUUAAUCACGCAUCUAGAAUACGGUCCACUCAAACGUAUUGAAAUGCUAGGAUGAUUGUGUUUUCUUUCCAGUCAAGUUUGUUUUUUUAUUUAACCCUUUUCUAGUAGAAGGUAAUUACAACAACAUAUCAAUAGUUUUUGGAGCAUAAUUCAUUUCAAUUACUGUAUAUUGUAUCAAUCUUUUAAAGAAAAUAACAAUAAAAGGAAGAUCAAGAUCAGGGGUUCAUCAAGGAAGGAAAAGUUAAUGUAGUAACGUUUUAUACCCACAAAAAAAAAGGAUUAAAAAGAAAAGAAAAAAAUAUAGUAACGUUUUGUAAUGAAUAUGGUGGCUUCGAUGUGCUUAGAUAAUAAUGGUCUGGUCCGGUUACUUCAUCAGGCGAAUUAAUGUUGAAUUUGGUCUAAGUAGUGGCAUUUCAAGUUCCAUCGUCUAUACCAUACCAUACCAGUCCGGU